UAGACCUAAGUAUUUGUUUUUAGGGAUUUGCACAAGGUGAUGCUAAAUUUCAAUUGGGCAUCUGUAUUUCUUGAGAACUUUUUCUCUACUACCUAAGUCAAAGUAUUUUAUAUCAUUUCUGGCUUUCAUUGGGAUCAAAUAGUAUGACUAGAGAAGAUUCAACCCAAUCUCAAAACAAAUAAUAGAAAAUGGGGAAAAUGUCUUCUCCUGAGAUAUCAAAGUCUCUAUAUCCUUUUAUAAUUAUGAUGAAAAUUCUCACUUACCUCCCAUUUGACACGUGAUUUUUAGUGAUAGAGGAUGACUGGCACAACAAUAGAUAAACAAGAAAAAGAAGGAGAG
rnacentral:lncRNA from 1 species